AGAGGCUGACUUCCCAGCAGUGCAGGAGUUCUGCUGGCUUUUGUGCGCAUCCAGGCAGCGAUGGGUGGCAUGGAGCUCCACCAGCACAGCUGAGACCCAAGCACCUGGUUCCCUGAGCACUGGAAGAGCUGAUGCUGCUGUAGCCAAGAUCCCUUCAUCAAUCCUGUUAAGCUGAUGAGUAACGCAGUAUGGCUUAUGGUGGUGUUUCCGUGGCAAUAAACAGGAGGCAUUACUUUUGGAGCAACCUACGUACAAGACAGAAAUAUUGCAGCUCCAGGAAAAAUACCGAGAUGCUACCAGGAUGUGACCAGCACUGUGCUAUGGCUAGAGAAACAGCAGCUGAUAGACCAGUGAUCUGGCCACGGUGCUCUGUGCCCCUUAGGGCUGUUCCUCUCCCAACCAAGUUCUGCAGGAGGCAUUGGCACCUGUAGCUACAUCCACCUCAGAGGUACAGAGAAUUAGAUGUCUUUUCUUUCCACCCCAAGGGAUGCGGUGGUGUGGCAGCCAGAAGAAUUACACCCAUUCACACCAGCUGAGUGCUAGGACCCAAAGUGUGAAAGAAGGCUCUCGUGGAAGAUAAAUAUAAGAGCUUGUCUCUCAGAAGAGUGACAUCCACGGCGGCUCCUCUGCCUUCUGUUUCCUCCUGCAUACAGAUUAGUUCGAGCCUGCUCUGCCCACAUGCUGCUUUGUCAGUGGAGGAGAAGAGGGAAUUCUCCUCCGUGUUACCCUGCCCAGGAAUGGAAACAUUUCACAAGCUGUCAGGUAGUGUCUACCCCACUGUGAAGGAACUUCCUAAAUGAACUUGUGAUUGAGGAGGAAAUGUGUUCCUGAAAAACGGAGGCACAGCAAGCUUACACCGUGGUAUCUGCAAGGCGAUGCAAUAGAAGGGGGGCGGCCAAUGGAAGAUGAACAAUGAUUUUGUAGUGACUCUCAGGUUAGCAUUCGCAAGCAGAGAUGGACUUCAAAAGGGCACAAAUAUAAAAGGAAUACUUUGGAAGUGCAGUCAUAGAACUCUUGGAUGUCAGCCGGAGCAAUGUUCACCCCAACCUUCUCAGCCCAAAGCUGGCUGCUGACUACUGCAUGGUAUUGACCAAGAGCAAGCAAUGGGACAGGCAUGGUCCUUUGUAAAUCAUGGUGAUUUCUUUUGGUAUUUGAGAGUGCUGUAAGUUAUCGGGUAUUCAAGAUCAUUUAUCAUGGGAUGAAACCUGCCUUGCAGGGAAGGGAGUGUUUCUUGGAAAGCAAACAAAACACAAACUAAUAAAGCAAACCAAACC
rnacentral:lncRNA from 7 species